GAUUGUGUGUGUGUAUAUGUGUUUGUGUCUGUGUGUUCUCCUUAGCUGCUGUUGUGUCCGUCAGGGGACAAGUCGUCAUGUCGUGAGAUGGUGGUUCAUAGCAACAGUCUCCAGGUUGGAGGUUUGACCCCAGGAUCAGAUUAUGACAUCACCGUCCUGAGCCUGCUGGUAUCAGACUUCAGCCAGCCUGUCACUACACAGUUCUCCACACGUCCGGCCGGUGUGUGUUCCCUCUCUCUGCUCUAUGUUAACUCUUCCUGUGCCGUGGUGAGGUGGGACGCUGCCAUUGGCCAGUUUGACUUCCACAGGGUAACUGUUGGAAAUGGCUCGCAAACACAUACGAUAGAGGUCUCCAAGGAGAGGCAGGUUGCUACAGUAACUGGGUUGAGGGAUGGCUGUAUGUACAACAUGAGCGUGGAGCACAUUAGACGAGGAGAGGCAGGGACAGCUGCCUCCCUGACUGUAACCACAGUGCCGGGCCGUGUGCGGGGUGUAAAUGUGGUUAGUGUGUCUGCUCAGAACUUCUCUCUGCGUUGGGACCAGUCAGAGGGGUGUGUGGACCAGUACCUCGUCAGCCUGCUGCCCAACCAAGGAACUGUCUCUGUCUACCGCACACACGACAGACUCGUACAGGCUGACGUAUCCAGUCUGAGUCCUCGAACAGCGUUUAUGGUCAUGGUGACCGCCGCCUCCUCCUCCAACCUCAGCCCACCGGUCAGCCGCAUAAUCAACACCAACAAGACCGGUGAGAUGUGUUACAGCUGAACUGAUAGUGGCCUGCUCUGAGGAAACAUUGGCUCU
rnacentral:lncRNA from 1 species